rnacentral:rRNA from 1 species
UGAGGGAUAUUGGGCAAUGGGGGAAACCCUGACCCAGCGACGCCGCGUGAGGGAAGACGGUCUUCGGAUUGUAAACCUCUGUCUUUGGGGACGAAGAAGGACGGUACCCAAGGAGGAAGCUCCGGCUAACUACGUGCCAGCAGCCGCGGUAAUACGUAGGGAGCGAGCGUUGUCCGGAAUUACUGGGUGUAAAGGGAGCGUAGGCGGGAUUGCAAGUUGGAUGUGAAAACUGCGGGCUCAACCCGGAGAGUGCAUUCAAAACUGCGAUUCUUGAGUGAAGUAGAGGCAAGCGGAAUUCCUAGUGUAGCGGUGAAAUGCGUAGAUAUCACGCAGAACGCCGAUUGCGAAGGCAGCUUACCGGCGCUCAACUGACGCUCAGGCACGAAAGUGCGGGUAUCGAACAGGAUUAGAUACCC